rnacentral:tRNA from 1 species
UCCCUGGUGGCUCAGAUGGUAAAGCAUCUGCCUGCAAUUUGGGAGACCCAGGUUCGAUCCCUGGGUUGGGAA